UCGAGAAUCUUCGGCAAUGGGCGCAAGCCUGACCGAGCGACGCCGCGUGCGGGAUGAAGGCCUUCGGGUUGUAAACCGCUGUCGGAGGGGAGGAAAUUUUGACCGAUCCUCGGAGGAAGUCCGGGCUAAGUUCGUGCCAGCAGCCGCGGUAAGACGAACCGGACAAACGUUAUUCGGAAUUAUUGGGCUUAAAGGGUGCGUAGGCGGUGCGGUCAGUCGGGUGUGAAAUCCCUCGGCUCAACCGAGGAACUGCGCCCGAUACUACCGUGCUCGAGGGAGACAGGGGUGAGCGGAACUCACGGUGGAGCGGUGAAAUGCGUUGAUAUCGUGAGGAACACCGGUGGCGAAAGCGGCUCACUGGGUCUCUUCUGACGCUGAGGCACGAAAGCUAGGGUAGCGAACGGGAUUAGAUACCCCCGUAGUCC
rnacentral:rRNA from 1 species